AGCAAGCGAGGGGGAAAGACCGGACCGCUCCGACCCACCCCCUCCCUACCCCCACCUCCCACCUUAAAGCACCUUAUACCACGGAAGGCUCUCAGCCUCUUCUUUCCUCUGCGAACGCGCUGAGCAGCGAUUGAAAACGUUUUGGUCCUCUGCAGGGGCGCAUUCUGGGGUCUCUGCGCAAGACCAGCUCUCAGCUCUCUCUCCUUUCCUCGGACUCUGGAGCGGGAGCGGGCCUUUCCCUCGGGUCGACCACGCCGUAGGGGACGCCGUGAAAAGAGCCGUCGCGCCCGCUGCCUCCUGCCCGCUGCGCAGAGGGCUCCGCCCGUAGAGGUCAACUUCCCUCACCCUUUUCUCUCUCCUGCUUGCCCUCCCUCCGCCCGGCCCAGGCGCUUCCAGCCCCAGACUGUGGCCACUGGCUGAGGAGUGCGAGUCGGCUGCGCUGCCCUGAGCCUAAUCCCUCUUCCGGGCCCAGACCCGAGGUCCGCGCUCCUGGGCAGUGGGGAAGCUUUAGUGAGCAGGCUUUUCUCUCCGCAGCAAACUUGUAGCCAGACCAGAUGGGCCGCCCAGCUCUCUCGGGACUAGGCAGGUGCGGAUGAGUUAAUUUUUCCGCAUUACAAAGAAAGAUGACCCAGCCCGCCCUUGGACUCUCUUUUCCCAAAAUCUCCCAACCAAACCCGCGGUAACGUUAUCAAAGGACACAGAGCCCAGGCAUAUCUGUGUGUUUAUCUUACAGGCACACACGCAUGGUUUUCUCUUUUAUAUGCUAGAUUUCAUCCCUGACAGCAGAAAAUGAUUGGCAAUGGUUAUGACGGAGAACAUGCAAUAGCGUGGUCCUUAAAAACCUGCCAUUCCUUACAAGUGCCUUAGAAAGGAUUCAGGGCGAACCAACUGGGUUAAUUGCAUUCAGUAAAAUAACACGAUUAC
rnacentral:lncRNA from 1 species